rnacentral:rRNA from 1 species
AGUGAACGCUGGCGGUAGGCCUAACACAUGCAAGUCGAACGGCAGCACAGUAAGAGCUUGCUCUUACGGGUGGCGAGUGGCGGACGGGUGAGGAAUACAUCGGAAUCUACUUUUUCGUGGGGGAUAAGGUAGGGAAACUUACGCUAAUACCGCAUACGACCUACGGGUGAAAGCAGGGGAUCUUCGGACCUUGCGCGAUUGAAUGAGCCGAUGUCGGAUUAGCUAGUUGGCGGGGUAAAGGCCCACCAAGGCGACGAUCCGUAGCUGGUCUGAGAGGAUGAUCAGCCACACUGGAACUGAGACACGGUCCAGACUCCUACGGGAGGCAGCAGUGGGGAAUAUUGGACAAUGGGCGCAAGCCUGAUCCAGCCAUACCGCGUGGGUGAAGAAGGCCUUCGGGUUGUAAAGCCCUUUUGUUGGGAAAGAAACGCAGCAGGUUAAUACCACGCUGUUCUGACGGUACCCAAAGAAUAAGCACCGGCUAACUUCGUG